CGUAAGAAGCUUUAAUAACAAUGAAGAGCUACUUUUUUCCCUGGCCAAUGGAGUCUGUUAUCCUGGAACAAGAGAGCUCCAUUCUCCCUGGACCUUCAGAGUGCAGCCCUGUCCUAGAGAGGUGUCAGGAACUUAGCCACCAGCUUCUGAAGGUACUUGACAAUUAUCUGUGGAAGAAACCUAAUUAAUGAUAACUGUCAAGAAUCAAAGAAACCUGCCUGUGCAUAUUGACCUGUAACAAG
rnacentral:lncRNA from 1 species